GAUUAAAAAUUUCAUCCAUUUGUAUUGUUAAAAACUGACGUAGCUAAUGGAAUUACUAAAAUGAUACGUGGCACGUCAUGUUGAUGUAUAAAGACCAAUUUUUAACUGUCAAAUGGAUAGAAUUUUUAACA
rnacentral:pre_miRNA from 1 species